rnacentral:rRNA from 1 species
GAGUUUGAUUCAUGGCUCAGAAUUGAACGCUGGCGGCAUGCUUUACACAUGCAAGUCGAACGGUAACAGGGAGCUUGCUCCGCUGACGAGUGGCGAACGGGUGAGUAAUAUAUCGGAACGUACCCAAGAGUGGGGGAUAACGUAGCGAAAGUUACGCUAAUACCGCAUACGAUCUAUGGAUGAAAGCAGGGGACCUUCGGGCCUUGUGCUCCUGGAGCGGCCGAUAUCUGAUUAGCUAGUUGGUGAGGUAAAGGCUCACCAAGGCGACGAUCAGUAGCUGGUCUGAGAGGACGACCAGCCACACUGGAACUGAGACACGGUCCAGACUCCUACGGGAGGCAGCAGUGGGGAAUUUUGGACAAUGGGCGCAAGCCUGAUCCAGCAAUGCCGCGUGAGUGAAGAAGGCCUUCGGGUUGUAAAGCUCUUUUGUCAGGGAAGAAACGGCUGUGGCUAAUAUCCACGGCUAAUGACGGUACCUGAAGAAUAAGCACCGGCUAACUACGUGCCAGCAGCCGCGGUAAUACGUAGGGUGCAAGCGUUAAUCGGAAUUACUGGGCGUAAAGCGUGCGCAGGCGGUUUUGAAAGUCUGUCGUGAAAUCCCCGGGCUCAACCUGGGAAUUGCGAUGGAGACUGCAAAGCUAGAAUCUGGCAGAGGGGGGUAGAAUUCCACGUGUAGCAGUGAAAUGCGUAGAGAUGUGGAGGAACACGAUGGCGAAGNCAGCCCCCUGGGUCAAGAUUGACGCUCAUGCACGAAAGCGUGGGAGCAAACAGGAUUAGAUACCCUGGUAGUCCACGCCCUAAACGAUGUCUACUAGUUGUCGGGUUUUAAUUAACUUGGUAACGCAGCUAACGCGUGAAGUAGACCGCCUGGGGAGUACGGUCGCAAGAUUAAAACUCAAAGGAAUUGACGGGGACCCGCACAAGCGGUGGAUGAUGUGGAUUAAUUCGAUGCAACGCGAAAAACCUUACCUACCCUUGACAUGUCAGGAAGACCGGAGAGAUCUGGUUGUGCCCGAAAGGGAACCUGAACACAGGUGCUGCAUGGCUGUCGUCAGCUCGUGUCGUGAGAUGUUGGGUUAAGUCCCGCAACGAGCGCAACCCUUGUCAUUAGUUGCUACGCAAGAGCACUCUAAUGAGACUGCCGGUGACAAACCGGAGGAAGGUGGGGAUGACGUCAAGUCCUCAUGGCCCUUAUGGGUAGGGCUUCACACGUCAUACAAUGGUACAUACAGAGGGCCGCCAACCCGCGAGGGGGAGCUAAUCCCAGAAAGUGUAUCGUAGUCCGGAUCGUAGUCUGCAACUCGACUACGUGAAGUUGGAAUCGCUAGUAAUCGCGGAUCAGCAUGCCGCGGUGAAUACGUUCCCGGGUCUUGUACACACCGCCCGUCACACCAUGGGAGCGGGUUUUACCAGAAGUAGGUAGCUUAACCGCAAGGAGGCGCUUACCACGGUAG